rnacentral:lncRNA from 1 species
GUCGGGGGCUCUACCAUCUAGGAGGCCCAGAGAGAAGCCCUGACUACAAAGAGACCCCAUAGUUACUGGCAUCCAAACCUGGGGUCCCUGAGAUCAAGGUCCCCCUGCCCUCCCGGAAGCUUCGAAUUAGUUCGGACCCUUUUUGAGUGAAUGCAGAGGGGACCUCCUCCGGCUGCUUCUCCAGCAAAGGGAACAUCUUGUCGUCCUGAGUCCAAAAGCAGCCACCCUGGCCUCCCCCUUCAGAAUCCUGAGUAUUUAAUCCCUCUGCUCUCACAUUCACACCGAAACUCUCACCCCACACACACUGAUCUACAAGUACACGCACACUCAGACAUGCGCACACACUCACGGAUGCACACACAUGCACACGUACAGACACGCACAUACGUGCAGACGUGCACAGACGCACAUACAGACACACAGACAUGCACACACAGACGCACACGUACAGACAUGCGCAGACAUGCACACACACAGACGCACACACACUCAGACACACUAAUACACCCGUACAUCACACACAGACGUGCACACACACUGAUGCACACGUACACACACACAAAGACAGGCAUACACAGACACCCUGAGUACAUCGCACAUACACUCACAGACACACACAGAUACACAGGUACACACACAGUACACACAGACAUGCACACACACUCACAGAUAUGUACAUCACACAGACAUGUACAGACAUACUGAUAACACACGUACAUCACAGACAUGUACACACAGACACACUGAUACAUCAUACACAGAGACAUGUACACACACUGAUAACGAACAUCACACAUACAGACAUGUACAGACACACUGAUACAAAUACAUCACACAUACUCACAGACGCACACACAUACUGAUACACACGUAACGUAUACACAGACACGUACACAUAGACAUGCACACACACACUCAGACACACUGAUACACAUGUACAUCACACGCAGACAUGUACAGACAUACUGAUAACACGUACAUCACAGACAUGUACACACAGAUACAUCAUACACAGACAUGUACACACACUGAUACGUACAUCACGCAUACUCACAGACGUACAGACACACUGAUACACAAGUACAUCACGCAUACACACACACUGGUACAUAACGUAUACACAGACGUACACACAGACAUGCACACACACUCAGACACACUGAUACACAUGUACAUCACACAGACACGUACACACAGAUACACACGUACAUCACACAUAUACGUACACACAGAUACGUACAUCACACACACUCACAGACACGUACACCCACAGAUACGUAUCUCAUACAUAUACACACUCAGACAUGCACGCAGAUUCAUACAUACAUCACAUAUACACACACACGUACACACACACUGAUGUACACGUACGUCACACACACACAUACACACACUGAUGCACACGUAUACCAUACACACAGACAUGCACACACUCAGACACAGAUACACACGUUCGUAUCACAGACACGUACAGAUACACUGAUGCACACGUACAUCCCACAUAACAUACACAGACAUGCACAAACUCAGAUAUACACGUACACCACACAUGCACACACAAUGAUACAUACAUGACACAUACACAUGUACAACACACAUCACACAGACAAGUACACACACAUUGAUACACAUGUACAUCACACAUCACACACAUACACAUACACCACACAUACACAUACACGCAUACAUCACACACUAUACUCACACUCAUACACACAUACACACUCAUACACACAUCACACACAUUCAAACACAUACGUACAUCACACAAUACACAUUCCCACACACGUACAUACAUCACAUACACACACGUUCACACACAUCACACACACACAGUCUCAUUUACUCGCUACGAAAGCAGCAUUUGCUGAAUUCCUAUUACACACCAGGCACUGUUCUGAGCACACGGGAAAGACCACUCAACAAGAUGUACGGUGUCUCUGCCCUCUAGGGAAACAGCCAAGUAAAUAAAUGAUUUCUGACUGUGAGCGCUC